CAGUAGCCGCGGUAAUACGAAGGGGGCUAGCGUUGUUCGGAAUUACUGGGCGUAAAGCGCACGUAGGCGGACAUUUAAGUCAGGGGUGAAAUCCCGGGGCUCAACCCCGGAACUGCCUUUGAUACUGGGUGUCUAGAGUAUGGAAGAGGUGAGUGGAAUUCCGAGUGUAGAGGUGAAAUUCGUAGAUAUUCGGAGGAACACCAGUGGCGAAGGCGGCUCACUGGUCCAUUACUGACGCUGAGGUGCGAAAGCGUGGGGAGCAAACAGGAUUAGAUACCCGAGUAGUCCCUGUCUCUUAUAC
rnacentral:rRNA from 1 species